UGAGGAAUAUUGGUCAAUGGGCGAGAGCCUGAACCAGUCAAGUAGCGUGCAGGAAGACGGCCCUAUGGGUUGUAAACUGCUUUUAUGUGGGGAUAAAGUGCGUGACGUGUCAUGCAUUGCAGGUACCACAUGAAUAAGGACCGGCUAAUUCCGUGCCAGCAGCCGCGGUAAUACGGAAGGUCCGGGCGUUAUCCGGAUUUAUUGGGUUUAAAGGGAGCGUAGGCUGUCUAUUAAGCGUGUUGUGAAAUAUACCGGCUCAACCGGUGGCUUGCAGCGCGAACUGGUCGACUUGAGUAUGCAGGAAGUAGGCGGAAUUCAUGGUGUAGCGGUGCAAUGCUUAGAUAUCAUGACGAACUCCGAUUGCGCAGGCAGCUUACUGUAGCAUAACUGACGCUGAUGCUCGAAAGUGCGGGUAUCAAACAGG
rnacentral:rRNA from 1 species